CUAGUUAGUGGCGAAAGGGUGAGGAAUAGAUAGGUAACGUACCCUGUGCUUCAGAAUAGCGUCAUACCCGCAAGGGUAUUUCCGAAAGGGGCAUUAAUGCUGAAUAAAGUAACAGGCCGUAUGGUCUGUUACCAAAGAUUUAUCAGCGCAGGAGCGGCCUAUCUCCUAUCAGCUAGUUGGUGAGGUAACGGCCCACCAAGGCAAUGACGGGUAGCGGGGCUGAGAGGUUGGCCCGCCACAUCGGGACUGAGACACUGCCCGGACCUCCACGGAGGGCUGCAGUAACGAAUAUUGGGCAACGGGCGAAAGCCUGACCCAGCGACGCCGCGUGUGGGAGGAAGUUCUUCGGAAUGUAAACCACUGUCAGGGUGAAGAAAGGUCGCAAGACUUGAUCUAACCCAGAGGAAGCAACGGCUAACUUCGUGCCAGCAGCCGCGGUAAUACGAAGGUUGCAAGCGUUGUUCGGAAUCACUGGGCUUAAAGCGCAUGUAGGCUGAUGAGUAAGCGUUUUGUGAAAUCCCUCGGCUUAACCGGGGAAUCGCUUGGCGAACUGCUCAUCUUGAGGCAAGUAGGGGUGCAUGGAACUCUUGGUGGAGCGGUGGAAUGCGUAGAUAUCAAGAGGAACGCCAAUGGUGAAAACAGUGCACUGGGCUUGUUCUGACGCUGAGAUGCGAAAGCGUGGGGAGCGAACGGGAUUAGAUACCCCGGUAGUCCACGCCGUAAACGAUGCCUACUAGUUGUGGGAGUUCUGACACUCUCACGUGCCGAAGCAAAAGUGCUAAGUAUGCCGCCUGGGGAGUACGGUCGCAAGGCUAAAACUCAAAGGAAUUGACGGGGGCUCACACAAGCGGUGGAGCAUGUGGAUUAAUUCGAAGCAACGCGAAGAACCUUA
rnacentral:rRNA from 1 species